CUAAAAGUGCAAAUUUAAAGCAAGUGCUUCAUUUUUAUUACACAAUUGAAAUGGAACUAAUAAAAGUCAGAACACAAGCAACAUUACAGAAAAAAACGACAGAGACAAUAAUAUGAAAACAGGAAAACAGAGAAACUAAUAACGUGUCUGGAAAAGCAGACUUAUUACAAAGACAAAGGUUCACAACCACACUUAAACUACUCUUCUUCAACUUCAUCUUUCCAACACUUCAGAGUUGAUCUAGGUGAAACACAGUCACUAAUCUUGACGAAUCUUUGGUAGACAACAGAACCACCCAUUCCAAGCCCUUCGUGGCUCCACUCUUCACGACAGUAUCCCUUCACAUCCACAAAAAACAUAUGUUCAAAGGGCUUGCUUCCACCAUCCGCAUGAAUUGCUACAGAAAAUUCAUUCGGAAGGAAACAUGACAAAACCCUGUCUACCAACUCGUUCAGGUUCACAACUUUAAAGUCGUAGCCCACAGUCUCAAAGCUUGCAUAACUGAAUCCAUCUUCAGGAGUAAUAUGAAUGGUAGAAACAGCACCCCCUUCAACAGAAUUCAUUGAAUAACCACAUGGCUCAAAGUCGAAAUCGCAUAUCUCAGAAUUCGGAAGAAUCUUUCUGAUGCCAGAGUUAACAGUCAUCAUGGCAGCUGAAGCAGAUU
rnacentral:lncRNA from 1 species